rnacentral:tRNA from 1 species
GGACGGGCUGGGUAUGAGUGAACCCAAGGGACUGUAAAUCCCCCGCAAUUGCUGUGAAGGUGCGAAUUCCUUCCCCGUCCACCA